AGUGAACGCUGGCGGUAGGCCUAACACAUGCAAGUCGACCGGCAGCACAGUAAGAGCUUGCUCUUACGGGUGGCGAGUGGCGGACGGGUGAGGAAUACAUCGGAAUCUACUUUUUCGUGGGGGAUAACGUAGGGAAACUUACGCUAAUACCGCAUACGACCUACGGGUGAAAGCAGGGGAUCUUCGGACCUUGCGCGAGUGAAUGAGCCGAUGUCGGAUUAGCUAGUUGGCGGGGUAAAGGCCCACCAAGGCGACGAUCCGUAGCUGGUCUGAGAGGAUGAUCAGCCACACUGGAACUGAGACACGGUCCAGACUCCUACGGGAGGCAGCAGUGGGGAAUAUUGGACAAUGGGCGCAAGCCUGAUCCAGCCAUACCGCGUGGGUGAAGAAGGCCUUCGGGUUGUAAAGCCCUUUUGUUGGGAAAGAAAAGCAGCAGGUUAAUACCCCGCUGUUCUGACGGUACCCAAAGAAUAAGCACCGGCUAACUUCGUG
rnacentral:rRNA from 1 species